CCACUAUCAACACCCAAAGCUGAAGUUCUAUUUAAACUAUUCCCUG
rnacentral:tRNA from 1 species